GAUGAACGCUGGCGGCGUGCCUAACACAUGCAAGUCGAGCGAACAGAUGAGGAGCUUGUUCCCCUGACGUUAGCGGCGGACGGGCGAGUAACACGUGGAUAACCUACCUAUAUGACUGGGAUAACUUCGGGGAACAGGAGCUAAUACCGGAUCAUAUAUUGAACGGCAUGGAUCAAUAGUGAAAGAGGGUUUUGCUGUUACUUUUAGACGGAUCCGCGUCGCAUUAGCUAGUUGGUAAGGUAACGGCUUACCAAGGCAACGAUGCGUAGCCGACCUGAGAGGGUGAUCGGCCACACUGGAACUGAGACACGGUCCAGACUCCUACGGGAGGCAGCAGUAGGGAAUCUUGCGCAAAGGGCGAAAGCCUGACGGAGCAACGCCGCGUGAGUGAUGAAGGUCUUCGGGUCGUAAAGCUCUGUUAUUAGGGAAGAACAAAUGUAUAAGUAACUAUGCAUGUCUUGACGGUACCUAAUCAAAAAGCCACGGCUAACUACGUG
rnacentral:rRNA from 1 species